CACCUCUAGCAUUUCCAGUAUUAGAGGCACUGCCUGCCCAGUGACAUCUGUUUAAACGGCCGCGGUAUCCUAACCGUGCAAAGGUAGCAUAAUCACUUGUUCCCUAAAUAGGGACUUGUAUGAAUGGCCACACGAGGGUUUUACUGUCUCUUACUUCCAAUCAGUGAAAUUGACCUUCCCGUGAAGAGGCGGGAAUGACUAAAUAAGACGAGAAGACCCUAUGGAGCUUUAAUUAACUGAUUCACAAAAAACAACACACAAACCUAACCUUCAGGGACAACAAAAUUUUUGAUUGAAUCAGCAAUUUCGGUUGGGGUGACCUCGGAGAACAAAACAACCUCCGAGUGAUUUAAAUCCAGACUAACCAGUCAAAAUAUAUAAUCAUUUAUUGAUCCAAACCAUUGAUCAACGGAACAAGUUACCCUAGGGAUAACAGCGCAAUCCUAUUCCAGAGUCCAUAUCGACAAUUAGGGUUUACGACCUUGAUGUUGGAUCAAGACAUCCUAAUGGUGCAACCGCUAUUAAGGGUUCGUUUGUUCAACGAUUAAAGUCUU
rnacentral:rRNA from 1 species